UCCGUAGGUGAACCUGCGGAUGGAUCAUUACCAAAGUAUCCUUCCAACGUCUUGUGAACUGUUUUGAACAGUGUCCUGCCUUACUGUACCAUCGCCGCGCUUCAGCUACUGUUGCAACGCGACCGGUCGCGGCAGGACAGCCAAAAGUACCCUUUACUGAAGUAUCUUUCUAAUUGAAUGAAAGACAACUUUUAGCAAUGGAUCUCUUGGCUCUCGCAACGAUGAAGAACGCAGCGAAAUGCGAUAAGUAGUGUGAAUUGCAGAUCCGUGAAUCAUCAAAUCUUUGAACGCAUAUUGCACUGUCUGGAAUUCCGGGCAGUAUGCCUGUUUGAGUAUCAGACACUACUCUCUCAGACGCCCUGCCAUCACAGGGUAGACUGAUGAGGACUUGGGCCAUCGCUUACUGUACUGUAGGCGCGGUUCUAAAUGUAUCUGGCUACUGUAACUGACAGUGCUGACAGUGUUACUGACCGUUCUCGGUCUUGAUCUGUCUGGCCGUCGCUACUAGUAACUACUACUCAAACUACAGUAGUAAUACUGUGAUUAUGAUCUCAAAUCAGGCAAGAUUACCCGCUGAACUUAAGCAUAUUAAUAAGCGGAGGAAAAGAAACUAACCAGGAUUCCCCUAGUAAUGGCGAAUGAAGCGGGAACAGCUCAAAUUUAAAAUCUCUACGGAGAAUUGUAGUUUGUAGAAGUGUUUUCGAUGGCGGCCUGGGUAUAAGUCCCUUGGAAUAGGGCAUCAUAGAGGGUGAGAAUCCCGUCUUUGAUCCAGGUACCGUCACACUGUGAUACACUUUCAAAGAGUCGGGUUGUUUGGGAAUGCAGCCCAAAGUGGGUGGUAUAUUCCAUCUAAAGCUAAAUACAGGCGAGAGACCGAUAGCGAACAAGUACCGUGAGGGAAAGAUGAAAAGAACUUUGAAAAGAGAGUUAAACAGUACGUGAAAUUGCUAAAAGGGAAACGCUUGAAGU
rnacentral:rRNA from 1 species